UUUCUUAUUUUCCUCUCCCGUUCCCAUUUCCUUUCCCCGACGCCGUUCCUCUCCACUCCGACGGUUUCUUCUUCCCCAAUGCCUGCGUCGACGCCGCCUUCGCGGUUGUUCCUCUCCUCUCCGGUACAAAGGCAGUGGCCGUGGGGAAGCCUUGUGUUUUUCCCUUCUUCCGAUCUCUGCCCUAGAGCCUCGCCCCGAUUCCUUUCCUCUGCCCGACGAUGACACCCGAGCCCUAGAUCUUCCUCUUCCGGCGCCGAUAUUCUGAUUCCUUUUCCUCCUCUCUUCUGCCCGACGCCGACGCCGAUGCUGGCAUUACCAGGAAGCUUAUCACGCCGAGCCCUAGUUUCCCGAUGCCGGCCUUAAGCUUUACUCCCGAUCUUGUGACGCUGUGCUUUAAUUCCCGAUUCCAGACUUCACUGGUCUCACGCCUCAGUGCUAGUUGUUGAUCAUCGGAGAGGACCAAGCCGUGCCCUAGAUUUUCUUGUUCUGCCGGAUUCAAACCAGACAGCGAUGAGGGAUUAGUGAUCAGCGGCUGAGGGAAAACGAUUGGCACCAUUGUAGGUACGGCAGAUUUGGUUCCGAUGAUCCAGCUUCGGCGGUGAAGCCCUCGGGUCGUAUCCCACCAGCGGUCACUUGGUUGUGAAUUGAGGACUUUGAUGCGAGACGAGUAUCUCGACGUCGUAUUUGGACCAGAUUGAACUUUCCU